rnacentral:rRNA from 1 species
UACGGAGGGUGCAAGCAUUGAUCGGAAUUACUGGGCGUAAAGGGCGCGUAGGCGGUUAUGAAAGUCAGAUGUGAAAUUCCGAGGCUCAACCUCGGAGCUGCAUUUGAAACUCCACAACUAGAGUUCAGUUAGGGUAAACGGAAUUCCACGUGUAGCGGUGAAAUGCGUAGAUAUGUGGAAGAACACCAGUGGUGAAGACGGUUUACUGGGCUGAAACUGACGCUGAGGCGCGAAAGCAUGGGGAGCAAACAGG